rnacentral:lncRNA from 1 species
AAGAAACCUUUUGCUUUUGCAUUAGAGUGUCAACUCCUUGGGUUAGUCUCUGGGCUCUGAGAACCUGGCACAACAUUUUGGUUCCCUGACUGGGAAUCCCAAGAUCCUACCAGGACUCACAACUCUGAAGGUUUCAAUCCCAACUAGCUGGACGAUGACUUGGGACAGAAUCUAACAGGACAGACCCCUUCCUUCCCUUUGAAAAACAGACAUUCCUGCCGAAGUGGCUUCAGGCCGGAAGUUACAGCCUGGCAGAGGACAAUACCUUCUGGCUCCUUGCCUGAGACCAGGUUGCACUGAUGGCCUCCAGGUGGCUGAGGAGUGGUCACCAAAGCUCCUUGGGUGGGGCAAAAGCCUAUGAAUGGUAGGCACUCAGAGCGGGCUGGUCGGGGGACUUGACUUAAUGGUGUCGGGCAGGGUGAGUCCUGCUCCACAGGCAGACAGUGGUCUGCAGGCACACAGAGGCAUCUGUCAAUGGCGGGUGCCUCCAAGUUUAAGUGCACCCAGCUGGCCAUCUGUUCCUGGGAAGCUGAGGCCCCAGAAGGUCUCGGCAGGCAGGGCCCAGGUGGGCACAGCCGGUCUGAGACUGCUGGAGGGAGGGACGCCAUCAGUGUUGCUGAGCCAUCCAGGGAAUGUUGCCCAGUGUUGCCCCUGCACUGUUGCCCAGUGGAGUGUAGAGAGCAAGACUGCAGCAGGGGUGGCACUUGCCUACUAGUGAGGCCUGAAGGGUGUGUGUGAACCUUUAGAAACCUUGCUGCUCUUAGAAAAGCCAUUGUCCCCAAAGUUGACACUCACUGGCUCACUUGCCCAUCACAGGUCCCUCCAGUGCUAGCAGAUGGGAUUCCUGAACCCUGACUUUGAAAGUUGCCCACUCCUAGCCAAACAGGCUUGGCUUUAUGGUGUAAAGUUACAUACAGCCUAUGGGUGCUAGGAUCCUGUUAUGACACUAUAGACAGACUUCCCUCCACCAGGGCUGCUCUGGUCAUUCAGAUUCAAGGGUGAUUACAAAUUAUUAUUGGUUAGGGUAAUAAAAAAUUGUUUUUCAAAACACCGGAGCCAAGGACACUUUGUGCCCACCAGUGCUGCCUCCCUUUCUU